rnacentral:rRNA from 1 species
GUAUACGGCCAUGCCACCCUAAACACGCCCAAUCUCAUCUGAUCCGAGAAGCUAAGCAGAGACGGGCCUGGUUAGUACUGGGAUAGGAGACCACCUACGAAGACCGGAUGUUGUAGGCA